AUAUUAAUAAGCGGAGGGAAAGAAACUAACGAAGAUUCCCUCAGUAACGGCGAGUGAAGCGGGAAAAGCCCAGCACCGAAUCCCCCGUCGUUUUGACGGUGGGAACUGUGGUGUUAAGGACAGUCCACGGAGAUCGAUCGGGGAUCCGAGUCCUCCUGAUCGGGGCUUCACCCAGAGCGGGUGUCAGGCCUCUACGAUCUCUGGUCGGUUUCGAGGAUCGUCCUAGGAGUCGGGUUGUUUGAGAUUGCAGCCCAAAGUGGGUGGUAAACUCCACCUAAGGCUAAAUACAGACACGAGACCGAUAGCGCACAAGUA
rnacentral:rRNA from 1 species